UACGGAGGGGGCUAGCGUUGUUCGGAAUUACUGGGCGUAAAGCGCACGUAGGCGGCUUUGUAAGUUAGAGGUGAAAGCCCAGGGCUCAACCCUGGAAUUGCCUUUAAGACUGCAUCGCUAGAAUUGUGGAGAGGUAAGUGGAAUUCCGAGUGUAGAGGUGAAAUUCGUAGAUAUUCGGAAGAACACCAGUGGCGAAGGCGACUUACUGG
rnacentral:rRNA from 1 species